UCACUGGGCGUAAAGCGUGUGUAGGCUGCGCGGAAAGUCAAAUGUGAAAGCCCGGGGCUCAACCUCGGAACUGCAUUCGAUACUCCCGUGCUAGAGUAAUGGAGAGGUAAGUGGAAUUCCUGGUGUAGCAGUGAAAUGCGUGGAUAUCAGGAGGAACAUCAAUGGCGAAGGCAACUUACUGGACAUUUACUGACGCUCAGACACGAAGGCUAGGGUAGCGAAAGGGAUUAGAUACCCCUGUAGUCCUAGCAGUAAACGGUGCUCGCUUGGUGUGGGAGGAUUCGACCCCUUCUGUGCCGGAGCUAACGCGUUAAGCGAGCCGCCUGGGAAGUACGGUCGCAAGACUAAAACUCAAAGAAAUUGACGGGGACCCGCACAAGCGGUGGAGUAUGUGGCUUAAUUCGAUGCAACGCGAAGAACCUUACCUAGGCUUGACAUGCUUGUCGUACUCUCCCGAAAAGGAGAGGUCACUUCGGGUGGACAAUGCACAGGUGCUGCAUGGCC
rnacentral:rRNA from 1 species